rnacentral:rRNA from 1 species
AACGAACGCUGGCGGCAUGCCUAACACAUGCAAGUCGAACGCGUGGAGCGAUCCACGAGUGGCGCACGGGUGAGUAACGCGUGGGAACCUGCCCUGGAGUGUGGGAUAACCCGGCGAAAGCCGGGCUAAUACCGCAUACGACCUGAGGGUGAAAGGUUUAUCGCUCUAGGAGGGGCCCGCGUCGGAUUAGCUAGUUGGUGAGGUAAUGGCUCACCAAGGCGAUGAUCCGUAGCUGGGCUGAGAGGAUGAUCAGCCACACUGGGACUGGGACACGGCCCGGACUCCUACGGGAGGCAGCAGUGGGGAAUCUUGGAAAAUGGGGGCAACCCUGAUCCAGCAAUGCCGCGUGGGCGAUGAAGGCCUUCGGGUUGUAAAGCCCUUUUGCACGCGACGAUGAUGACGGUAGCGUGAGAAGAAGCCCCGGCUAACUUCGUGCCAGCAGCCGCCGUAA